UUACCAAAUGCAUAAUUAUUAUGUUUUCAUACCCCCUAGAUUGGCAGUGAGAAGAAGUCCAGUCCUCUAGACAGUAUCAGAGGGCCUCCCUCGUUUCUUACCACCCACUGAGGUUGAGGAGAAGAGUGAGACCAAUCGAUGUCUAGAGGACAACCUGCUGAGGUAGUUGGAGGAGAAGUUGCUCGAGAGGUCUCAAAUCAUGGACCCGGGUGUCAUAGCUGAGCUGGAGUGAGAAUUGGAACUGGCCAACAGAAAGGCAGAUGUUCAGGUUCGGAAAUGUUAAUUGUGUUUGAGAUCACGUCAGGCAGAUAGAGAAGGUGGAGCUGGUCCUCCAGGACCUCCUUCAGCUGCAAUACGAGGGCCUGGCAAUCAUGAAGAUGUUUGGAAGGGCCAAAGUGAACGUUAAUCUGCUCAUCUUCCUCAUGAACAAUAAUUGUCAGAGCGUUAAAUUGGAUUUUUCAUUAGCAUAAUAUAUUCAUUGACAAUUCACAGCAGUGCAUUUGAGCAUUGAAUUAUUUAUAUCAUCUGCAUGUACUAUUGACACGUUGAUUAUUCUUCAUGUAUAUACUAUUGAUAUUCUUAUUG